rnacentral:rRNA from 1 species
GACGGAGGAUGCAAGUGUUAUCCGGAAUCACUGGGCGUAAAGCGUCUGUAGGUCGUUUAAAAAGUCUACUGUUAAAAAUUGAAGCUUAACUUCAAAGAUGCCGUAGAAACUUUUAAACUUGAGUAUGGUAGGGGUAGAGGGAAUUUCCAGUGGAGCGGUGAAAUGCGUAGAUAUUGGAAAGACCACCAAUGGCGAAGGCACUCUACUGGGCCAUUACUGACACUGAGAGGCGAAAGCUAGGGGAGCAAAUGGG